rnacentral:rRNA from 2 species
UACAGGGGGGGCAAGCGUUGUUCGGAAUUACUGGGCGUAAAGGGUUCGUAGGUGGCCAACUAAGUCAUACGUGAAAUCCCUCAGCUUAACUGGGGAACUGCGCCUGAUACUGGUUGGCUUGAGUGCAGGAGAGGAACGCGGAAUUCCAGGUGUAGCGGUGAAAUGCGUAGAUAUCUGGAGGAACACCGGUGGCGAAGGCGGCGUUCUGGACUGCAACUGACACUGAGGAACGAAAGCCAGGGGAGCAAACGGG